UUUAUAAGCGCCUUUAGUAUUCUUUUACUGAUUUAUCUCUAAAGUUGUUAUUGAAAAGCCAGGCAGCAUUGUUAAAAAUCAACCCUAGUUCUAUAUGUCGUUAAAUUGCAACUCUGGUAUGAACUGCAAUGCACGCAUCUUAUACAUACAUAUAUUAAAGUCUGUAUGUGUAUACAGUAGUAUAAAUAGAAGUGUGAGAAGACAAGAAGAGGUUCAGUCACAAAUAAACUUUCAUAGUGCUCACAUGUAUAUAAUCAACACCGAGUUUUUAACGGGGCAUAUUUAGGAGUUCCACGUCGUUUAUAAUUUCGACGGCUAGCGCUCUAAACAGACCUCGCCCACCAAGGAGGCUCAACAGAAGGCAACCGACGUAUAAGAAUCACGUGGGACUGUGUACCGAUCGUGGUAGAAGAUGUGGGAGCAGCCAAGAAGACUGUGGUGGCAUCGGUAUACUUUGCCGGUGACGAGGCGUGCCCACCGCCCGAAAUCACUGCACUGGCAGAAUACUGCAAGAGGACACACUCACCCACUCGGAUGUGAUGCAAGUGCACAUCACGUGAUAUGGGGCAGCAGCGACGUAAAUCAAAGAGCUUUCCUGGCUCAAAACGGAUGGUGACAGAGCGAACGCAAUUGCUGAACAUUUGUUCUCCACCCCCUGCAAUCUGACCGACAACACCCACCGAGAGGAAGUCGCAAACUUUUUGGAUGUGCCUUCUCAUCAGCCCACAACAUGAGAUAUAUCACUCCAUAAGAAGUCAGUCUGUACCUGAAGGCCCUUUAACUGAAAUAGACACUAGGACCUGAUGACUCUGACAAUCGUGCAGCCAAAUUCCUCCUGGAAAAUAAAGUAAAAAUAUAUAAUAUAUAUAAAAUAUAUUUAUAUAUAUUAUAUAUAAACUGAGUGGGAAAAACACACAGUCCGCAUCCACUUAGUGUAUAGAUCAAUAUCCCAAGCGGACGAUCCCACUCCCGAAAUAAUAUAUACAUAUGGGCAAUAGGUAUCAUAAAAAUAAUCAGCACUUUCGGAAGAAAUAAGAAUAUGCAGAAGGGGGAAUCCCACGCAAUGUACACAAUCCACAUCCGCUAGAUCUUUAGAAUCAAUAGAAAUAAAGUGAACAACUUUCGGAAAACCAUGUUAAUCAACUACUUUAUCAAAUCAAGGAGAUACCUGAAUACGACGGAAACCCGAAAGGAUCCAGUAUAUACAUUACUGAAGUCGAAUUUUUUUUAGAAUUAUACCCCACGUAAGAAGUUCAACAACAACACAUUAUUUAUGGAGCCAUUAGAGGGACAAUGAUUGGCCCACCCCGAGAAGUAAUCAAUGAAGAAAGAGCAACUAACUGGAUGGAAGCAAAAACAGGUUUGAUCAAGGAGUUCAAAGAUCUCAGACCAUAUGAAGACUUCAUCAGCGAUAUAUACGGGACACCAUACCAGUAAACUUACCAUCGGUAAAUUCGUUAAUGAUCGGUAAUGAAUUAAAGUUAAGAGUAAUUAGAAAUUAAGUAAUAAAGAAGUUGAAAAAAGAUCAAUCAGAUAGAAUAGUUUAAACCAAUGCACUAAAUAAAACUAUCAAGAAUUUCAUUGAAAGGAAAA